rnacentral:rRNA from 1 species
UUUGNNUAGCGCGGUGGUCCCACCUGACCCCAUGCCGAACUCAGAAGUGAAACGCCGUAGCGCCGAUGGUAGUGUGGGGUCUCCCCAUGCGAGAGUAGGGAACUGCCAGGCA